rnacentral:rRNA from 1 species
UACAGAGGUCCCAAGCGUUGUUCGGAUUCAUUGGGCGUAAAGGGUGCGUAGGUGGCGUGGUAAGUCGGGUGUGAAAUCCCGGGGCUCAACCCCGGGACUGCAUUCGAUACUGCCGUGCUUGAGGACUGGAGAGGAGACUGGAAUUUACGGUGUAGCAGUGAAAUGCGUAGAGAUCGUAAGGAAGACCAGUGGCGAAGGCGGGUCUCUGGACAGUUCCUGACACUGAGGCACGAAGGCCAGGGGAGCAAACAGG